rnacentral:tRNA from 1 species
GGGCCCGUAGUUCAGUGGUAGAAUGCCCGGUUUGCAUCCGGGAGAUCGGCGGUUCGAGUCCGCCCGGGUCCACCA